AUUGAACGCUGGCGGCAUGCCUUACACAUGCAAGUCGAACGGUAACAGGUCUUCGGAUGCUGACGAGUGGCGAACGGGCGAGUAAUACAUCGGAACGUGCCCGAGAGUGGGGGAUAACGAGGCGAAAGCUUUGCUAAUACCGCAUACGAUCUCAGGAUGAAAGCAGGGGACCGCAAGGCCUUGCGCUCACGGAGCGGCCGAUGGCAGAUUAGGUAGUUGGUGGGAUAAAAGCUUACCAAGCCGACGAUCUGUAGCUGGUCUGAGAGGACGACCGACCACACUGGGACUGCGACACGGCCCAGACUCCUACGGGAGGCAGCAGUGGGGAAUUUUGGACGAUGGGCGCAAGCCUGAUCCAGCCAUGCCGCGUGCAGGAUGAAGGCCUUCGGGUUGUAAACUGCUUUUGUACGGAACGAAAAGACUCUGGUUAAUACCUGGGGUCCAUGACGGUACCGUAAGAAUAAGCACCGGCUAACUACGUGCCAGCAGCCGCCGUAAUAC
rnacentral:rRNA from 1 species